GGUUAAGCGACUAAGCGUACACGGUGGAUGCCCUGGCAGUCAGAGGCGAUGAAGGACGUGCUAAUCUGCGAUAAGCGUCGGUAAGGUGAUAUGAACCGUUAUAACCGGCGAUUUCCGAAUGGGGAAACCCAGUGUGUUUCGACACACUAUCAUUAACUGAAUCCAUAGGUUAAUGAGGCGAACCGGGGGAACUGAAACAUCUAAGUACCCCGAGGAAAAGAAAUCAACCGAGAUUCCCCCAGUAGCGGCGAGCGAACGGGGAGGAGCCCAGAGCCUGAAUCAGUGUGUGUGUUAGUGGAAGCGUCUGGAAAGGCGCGCGAUACAGGGUGACAGCCCCGUACACAAAAAUGCACAUGCUGUGAGCUCGAUGAGUAGGGCGGGACACGUGGUAUCCUGUCUGAAUAUGGGGGGACCAUCCUCCAAGGCUAAAUACUCCUGACUGACCGAUAGUGAACCAGUACCGUGAGGGAAAGGCGAAAAGAACCCCGGCGAGGGGAGUGAAAAAGAACCUGAAACCGUGUACGUACAAGCAGUGGGAGCACGCUUAGGCGUGUGACUGCGUACCUUUUGUAUAAUGGGUCAGCGACUUAUAUUCUGUAGCAAGGUUAACCGAAUAGGGGAGCCGAAGGGAAACCGAGUCUUAACUGGGCGUUAAGUUGCAGGGUAUAGACCCGAAACCCGGUGAUCUAGCCAUGGGCAGGUUGAAGGUUGGGUAACACUAACUGGAGGACCGAACCGACUAAUGUUGAAAAAUUAGCGGAUGACUUGUGGCUGGGGGUGAAAGGCCAAUCAAACCGGGAGAUAGCUGGUUCUCCCCGAAAGCUAUUUAGGUAGCGCCUCGUGAAUUCAUCUCCGGGGGUAGAGCACUGUUUCGGCAAGGGGGUCAUCCCGACUUACCAACCCGAUGCAAACUGCGAAUACCGGAGAAUGUUAUCACGGGAGACACACGGCGGGUGCUAACGUCCGUCGUGAAGAGGGAAACAACCCAGACCGCCAGCUAAGGUCCCAAAGUCAUGGUUAAGUGGGAAACGAUGUGGGAAGGCCCAGACAGCCAGGAUGUUGGCUUAGAAGCAGCCAUCAUUUAAAGAAAGCGUAAUAGCUCACUGGUCGAGUCGGCCUGCGCGGAAGAUGUAACGGGGCUAAACCAUGCACCGAAGCUGCGGCAGCGACGCUUAUGCGUUGUUGGGUAGGGGAGCGUUCUGUAAGCCUGUGAAGGUGUGCUGUGAGGCAUGCUGGAGGUAUCAGAAGUGCGAAUGCUGACAUAAGUAACGAUAAAGCGGGUGAAAAGCCCGCUCGCCGGAAGACCAAGGGUUCCUGUCCAACGUUAAUCGGGGCAGGGUGAGUCGACCCCUAAGGCGAGGCCGAAAGGCGUAGUCGAUGGGAAACAGGUUAAUAUUCCUGUACUUGGUGUUACUGCGAAGGGGGGACGGAGAAGGCUAUGUUGGCCGGGCGACGGUUGUCCCGGUUUAAGCGUGUAGGCUGGUUUUCCAGGCAAAUCCGGAAAAUCAAGGCUGAGGCGUGAUGACGAGGCACUACGGUGCUGAAGCAACAAAUGCCCUGCUUCCAGGAAAAGCCUCUAAGCAUCAGGUAACAUCAAAUCGUACCCCAAACCGACACAGGUGGUCAGGUAGAGAAUACCAAGGCGCUUGAGAGAACUCGGGUGAAGGAACUAGGCAAAAUGGUGCCGUAACUUCGGGAGAAGGCACGCUGAUAUGUAGGUGAAGCGACUUGCUCGUGGAGCUGAAAUCAGUCGAAGAUACCAGCUGGCUGCAACUGUUUAUUAAAAACACAGCACUGUGCAAACACGAAAGUGGACGUAUACGGUGUGACGCCUGCCCGGUGCCGGAAGGUUAAUUGAUGGGGUCAGCGCAAGCGAAGCUCUUGAUCGAAGCCCCGGUAAACGGCGGCCGUAACUAUAACGGUCCUAAGGUAGCGAAAUUCCUUGUCGGGUAAGUUCCGACCUGCACGAAUGGCGUAAUGAUGGCCAGGCUGUCUCCACCCGAGACUCAGUGAAAUUGAACUCGCUGUGAAGAUGCAGUGUACCCGCGGCAAGACGGAAAGACCCCGUGAACCUUUACUAUAGCUUGACACUGAACAUUGAGCCUUGAUGUGUAGGAUAGGUGGGAGGCUUAGAAGUGUGGACGCCAGUCUGCAUGGAGCCGACCUUGAAAUACCACCCUUUAAUGUUUGAUGUUCUAACGUUGACCCGUAAUCCGGGUUGCGGACAGUGUCUGGUGGGUAGUUUGACUGGGGCGGUCUCCUCCUAAAGAGUAACGGAGGAGCACGAAGGUUGGCUAAUCCUGGUCGGACAUCAGGAGGUUAGUGCAAUGGCAUAAGCCAGCUUGACUGCGAGCGUGACGGCGCGAGCAGGUGCGAAAGCAGGUCAUAGUGAUCCGGUGGUUCUGAAUGGAAGGGCCAUCGCUCAACGGAUAAAAGGUACUCCGGGGAUAACAGGCUGAUACCGCCCAAGAGUUCAUAUCGACGGCGGUGUUUGGCACCUCGAUGUCGGCUCAUCACAUCCUGGGGCUGAAGUAGGUCCCAAGGGUAUGGCUGUUCGCCAUUUAAAGUGGUACGCGAGCUGGGUUUAGAACGUCGUGAGACAGUUCGGUCCCUAUCUGCCGUGGGCGCUGGAGAACUGAGGGGGGCUGCUCCUAGUACGAGAGGACCGGAGUGGACGCAUCACUGGUGUUCGGGUUGUCAUGCCAAUGGCACUGCCCGGUAGCUAAAUGCGGAAGAGAUAAGUGCUGAAAGCAUCUAAGCACGAAACUUGCCCCGAGAUGAGUUCUCCCUGACUCCUUGAGAGUCCUGAAGGAACGUUGAAGACGACGACGUUGAUAGGCCGGGUGUGUAAGCGCAGCGAUGCGUUGAGCUAACCGGUACUAAUGAACCGUGAGGCUUAACCUU
rnacentral:rRNA from 1 species